ACUAUUUUGGCAGAUUAGUGCGUUAAAUUUAGAAUUUAAAUAUGUGAUUUAUGUUACAAAUAGUA
rnacentral:tRNA from 1 species